rnacentral:rRNA from 1 species
AGUGAACGCUGGCGGUAGGCCUAACACAUGCAAGUCGAACGGCAGCACAGUAAGAGCUUGCUCUUACGGGUGGCGAGUGGCGGACGGGUGAGGAAUACAUCGGAAUCUACUUUUUCGUGGGGGAUAACGUAGGGAAACUUACGCUAAUACCGCAUACGCCCUACGGGUGAAAGCAGGGGAUCUUCGGACCUUGCGCGAUUGAAUGAGCCGAUGUCGGAUUAGCUAGUUGGCGGGGUAAAGGCCCACCAAGGCGACGAUCCGUAGCUGGUCUGAGAGGAUGAUCAGCCACACUGGAACUGAGACACGGUCCAGACUCCUACGGGAGGCAGCAGUGGGGAAUAUUGGACAAUGGGCGCAAGCCUGAUCCAGCGAUACCGCGUGGGUGAAGAAGGCCUUCGGGUUGUAAAGCCCUUUUGUUGGGAAAGAAAAGCAGCAGGUUAAUACCCCGCUGUUCUGACGGUACCCAAAGAAUAAGCACCGGCUAACUUCGUG